CUACGGGAGGCUGCAGUGGGGAAUAUUGGACAAUGGGGGAAACCCUGAUCCAGCAAUGCCGCGUGUGUGAAGAAGGCCUGCGGGUUGUAAAGCGCUUUCGGUUGGGAGGACUGCUUCUAGCACUAAUAUUGUUGGAAGUUGACGUUACCUUCAGAAGAAGCACCGGCUAACUCCGUGCCAGCAGCCGCGGUAAUACGGAGGGUGCACGCGUUAAUCGGAAUUACUGGGCGUAAAGCGCGCGUAGGCGGCUAGAUCAGUCGGGUGUGAAAGCCCCGGGCUUAACCUGGGAACUGCAUCCGAUACUGUCUAGCUUGAGUACAGGAGAGGAGAGUGGAAUUCCACAUGUAGCGGUGAAAUGCGUAGAUAUGUGGAGGAACACCAAUGGCGAAGGCAGCUCUCUGGCCUGAUACUGACGCUGAGGUGCGAAAGCGUGGGGAGCAAACAGGAUUAGAUACCAUAGUAGUC
rnacentral:rRNA from 1 species